GAUGAACGCUAGCGGCAGGCUUAAUACAUGCAAGUCGAGGGGCAGCAGGACUGUAGCAAUACAGUUGCUGGCGACCGGCAAACGGGUGCGGAACACGUACGCAACCUACCCAAAACUGGGGGAUAGCCCGGGGAAAACCGGAUUAAUACCUCGUAACCUUUUUAAGUGGCAUCACUUGAUAAGUAUAGCUCCGGCGGUUUUGGAUGGGCGUGCGCCUGAUUAGGUAGUUGGUGCGGGUAACGGCCUACCAAGCCUGCGAUCAGUAACUGGUGUGAGAGCACGACCAGUCACACGGGCACUGAGACACGGGCCCGACUCCUACGGGAGGCAGCAGUAAGGAAUAUUGGUCAAUGGACGCAAGUCUGAACCAGCCAUGCCGCGUGAAGGAUGAAGGUCCUCUGGAUUGUAAACUUCUUUUAUGGCGGACGAAACCCGGAUAUUCUUAUCCGAUUGACGGUACCUCAGGAAUAAGCACCGGCUAACUCCGUG
rnacentral:rRNA from 1 species